rnacentral:misc_RNA from 1 species
UCCGGUUUGUCACCGGCGGUCUCCUUAGAGUUCCCACCAUUACGUGCUGGCAACUGAAUCCAGGGGUUGCGCUCGUUGCUGGACUUAACCAAACACCUCACGGCACGAGCUGACGACAGCCAUGCAGCACCUGUACUCCCCCCCUUGCGGGUAGCCCACUUUCAUGGGUUUAGAGAGCCUUUCAAGCCUAGGUAAGGUUCUUCGCGUAGCAUCGAAUUAAACCACAUGCUCCACUGCUUGUGCGGGCCCCCGUCAAUUCCUUUGAGUUUCACCCUUGCGAGCGUACUCCCCAGGUGGAUCACUUAACGCGUUAGCUCCGACACCGGCACUUAUGCGCCGACAUCAAGUGAUCAUCGUUUAGGGCAUGGACUAC